rnacentral:rRNA from 1 species
CCUACGGGAGGCAGCAGUAAGGAAUAUUGGUCAAUGGACGAAAGUCUGAACCAGCCAUGCCGCGUGAAGGAUUAAGGCCCUCUGGGUUGUAAACUUCUUUUAUCUGGGACGAAAAAAGGGUAUUCUUACUCACUUGACGGUACCAGAGGAAUAAGCACCGGCUAACUCCGUGCCAGCAGCCGCGGUAAUACGGAGGGUGCAAGCGUUAUCCGGAUUUACUGGGUUUAAAGGGUGCGUAGGUGGGUUUGUAAGUCAGUGGUGAAAUCUCCGAGCUUAACUCGGAAACUGCCAUUGAUACUAUAGAUCUUGAAUUAUCUGGAGGUAAGCGGAAUAUGUCAUGUAGCGGUGAAAUGCUUAGAUAUGACAUAGAACACCAAUUGCGAAGGCAGCUUACUACGGAUAUAUUGACACUGAGGCACGAAAGCGUGGGGAUCAAACAGGAUUAGAUACCCUGGUAGUCCACGCCCUAAACGAUGGAUACUCGACAUCAGCGAUACACUGUUGGUGUCUGAGCGAAAGCAUUAAGUAUCCCACCUGGGAAGUACGAUCGCAAGAUUGAAACUCAAAUGAAAUUGACGG